rnacentral:misc_RNA from 1 species
GUGAAUCAUCAAAUCUUUGAACGCAAAUUGCGCCUCCUUGUGGUAUGCAUGGCUUUUUUAUUGCACCAUUUAACAAAUAAUGUGCGGGUCGCUAUGCGUCGUGCACACGUUGAUGAGCGUUUCCGAAAAACCAUGGUUUUUUGGUGGCGCAUAAUUAACGUCGUGGGCCUUUUCUUUCGAUUUGCUUGUAGUAAGUAAAUUUUCGACGCUUGGGUUGAGAAGAA